GACGAACCGAGCGAACGUUAUUCGGAAUCACUGGGCUUAAAGGGCGCGUAGGCGGGCCGUCAAGUCAGGGGUGAAAGCCCCCAGCUCAACUGGGGAAGUGCCUCUGAUACUGGCGGCCUCGAGGGAGGUAGGGGCGUGCGGAACUUCCGGUGGAGCGGUGAAAUGCGUAGAUAUCGGAAGGAACACCGGUGGCGAAAGCGGCGCGCUGGACCUCUUCUGACGCUGAGGCGCGAAAGCCAGGGGAGCGAACGGG
rnacentral:rRNA from 1 species